rnacentral:lncRNA from 1 species
UAAGGUUAAUAGACCACAUGAUAUUCUUUACAUAGGAAAUUGUUUGUAGAAAUUUAGAUUUGCCACAAGUUGCCCCAUAAAACAACACAAUCGUGACAAAUCACAAUGACAAAACUCAUCUCCAAAACUACAUAGUGGAGACGUGGUGUCAAUGAUUCUUAUGGAUCUUAAAUUUUUUAGAUAAGGUUAGGUGAAAAAGCAGGAGUCUGAUUUUUUAGAUAAGGCUAGGUGAAAAAGUGGGAGUGAGAUCAUAAUGUGGAUCAAGAUUGAUGAUGUAGUG